AUCUAAUUCAACUCCCCAUAGCGGCAGCACCCGUAGCCCAUCUCUUGUUGCCACACAUCCCAACCAGUCUCACCAGUUAUACAUGCUAAAUCUUUUUGUCUAAAGACUAUCAUCAUUAUCGUUAAUCUAGCCACAUUACUAACUAAAUUCAUACCAAUCUAUUUCUAGCUCUUUUAGCACAAACACCAGAGAUCAGCCAUUAUAUACUCUGAUGCUUAACUACAAUUGUGGGCACAUUGUAUAUACAGGUUCCUCUUUCCUUGUAUUUCUCCAUUCCAUUCCUAAACUGAAAUAUAUUCCAUAUCCCGAUAGCUCCUUGCUAGGCAGCAUUGCAUAAGGUCUCGCUUAUCCGCGACAUCAUUUCACCCUUUUGGAUCAUAUUUAAUGAAAAGUUAAGACAACGCCAUGGCAACAGCUCAGCUACACAG